GCGCCUCCCCGAAACCCUAGCGCCCUCCUCCUCUCGCCCCCAUCUCCCUCCCUCGCGCUCGGCCUCGUCGGCCUCCUCCGCCCCACCUCGCCGUCGCCGUCAUCAUCACGGCCACCGUCGUUUUCGUCGCUCGGCAGCACAUCAAGGAGGUCCGGUGUGGCCUGCUUCGUCCGUCCUGAGCACCAAACCGAGUCGAGGCGGCCCAUACGCUCUGCAUCGUCGUCGUCUCCUCGCCACGACCGCCGUCUUUCGUCAUCAAAUUCGACGCAUCCCGGCCACCCCGCGCUCGCUGACCUCAACCACAAACACCAGGAUGUCGGAGUCCAGGAGCCAGAUGCCACCUUUGACGACUGCUACUACCCCGACGGUGCCUACUACUACGUGAAGACCGCCGACGAACAGGAGUAGUUAGGAGACUCCCAGGCAGGAUGCCUUGCCUUUUCGAUCGAUGUUGCUUUUGUGCUAGCCUUCUUAAGGCAAACUUGUCUAACUCAUGUCUGUGCUCAGAUAUUGUUGCUUCCGCUGACUCUUGUGUUUUUGAGCUUAUGUAUUCGAGCCCUCGAGGCCCCUGGCUUGUAAUAUAAAGCUUGUAUUAUUUUAAUUUAUGUCUAGA